GCUAGUUGUAUUAACUAUUAGUUAAUGCAAGAUCGACUACGUCGACUAAAGUUCUAGGUAGAAUAAUGAUGAUGACAAUUUUUUACCUAUAUGUCUUGACCAAGUCUCGUGCCAGCAGUCGCGGAAAUACGUGGAAGACUAGUGUUAUUCAUCUUUAAUAGGUUUAAAGGGUACCUAGACGGUAUUUCUAGCCCAAAAUAGGGUACGGAUUUACUAGAGUUUUAUGUGAGGAGGGGAGUACUCGUGGAGUAGAGAUGAAAUUUUGUGAUACUAUGAGGAAACUGGUGGCGGCGAAAGCAACCUUCUAUGUAUAAACUGACGUUGAGGGACGAAGGCUUGGGUAGCAAAUAGGAUUAGAUACCCUAGUAGUCCAAGCAGACAAUUCUGAAUGCCAUAGAUUAGAUUAUUUUUGGUCUAUAAAUGAAAGUGUAAGCAUUCCACCUUAGGAGUAAUGUGGCAACACAGGAACUGAAAUCAUUAGACCGUUUCUGAAACCAGUAGUGAAGUAUGUUAUUUAAUUUGAUGGUCCACAAAAAACCUUACCACAACUUGAAUAUUAUUAAAUUAAUACAAGCGUUGCACGGCUGUCUUCAGUUAAUGUCGUGAGAUUUUGGUUAACUCCAUUAAUUAACGUAAACCCUUACUUUA
rnacentral:rRNA from 1 species